AUGGCGUGGCUUUGUUCGCAGCAACUCCGUCUGAUUUGCUUCAGCUCUCAGCUUCUAAUUUCCUCCAUCAAUCAUGAUUUAACACAUCACUACUUCCUUUCCAUUCGCUCGCGAUUUCACGCUUUGACUGCUUCUGUCCGUCUUCAGAUUCGGUUUCAUCUCCGAUUUCAACAUCGUGGCUUCUCAAGGCCCGAUCGUGAUUUUGGCGAAAUUAGAAAUAGAAGUGAACAACAACAAAGCUAUAUGCCACAAGUUUACAUACACAGUGAUGCGGAAAUGAUAAGCAGUUAA